rnacentral:rRNA from 1 species
GACGAACGCUGGCGGCGUGCUUAACACAUGCAAGUCGAACGGAAAGGCCCCUUUGGGGGUACUCGAGUGGCGAACGGGUGAGUAACACGUGAGUAACCUGCCCUUGACUUCGGGAUAACUUCAGGAAACUGGGGCUAAUACCGGAUAGGAAUCCUUGCUGCAUGGUGGGGGUUGGAAAGCUUCGGCGGUUUUGGAUGGACUCGCGGCUUAUCAGCUUGUUGGUGGGGUAGUGGCUUACCAAGGCUUUGACGGGUAGCCGGCCUGAGAGGGCGACCGGCCACAUUGGGACUGAGAUACGGCCCAGACUCCUACGGGAGGCAGAAGUGGGGAAUAUUGCACAAUGGGCGGGAGCCUGAUGCAGCAACGCCGCGUGCGGGAUGACGGCCUUCGGGUUGGAAACCGCUUUCAGCAGGGGCGAAGCUUGUGGUGACGGUACCUGCAGAAGAAGCACCGGCUAACUACGUG